CCAUGCAUGUCUAAGUACAAGCCGAUUUAAAGCGAAACCGCGAAUGGCUCAUUAAAUCAGCUAUGAUUCAUUGGAUCUGUACCCACACUUACUUGGAUAACUGUGGUAAUUCUAGAGCUAAUACAUGCACCACGUCUCUGACCGCAAGGGAAGAGCGCUUUUAUUAGUUCAAAACCGGUCGGGCCUCGGUCCGUCACCCCACCGUGUUGAAUCUGAAUAACUUGUCGCUGAGCGCACGGUCUCCGCACCGGCGCCGCCUCUUUCAAGUGUCUGCCUUAUCAGCUUUCGAUUGUAGGUUAUACGCCUACAAUGGCUAUAACGGGUAACGGGGAAUCAGGGUUCGAUUCCGGAGAGGGAGCCUGAGAAACGGCUACCACAUCUAAGGAAGGCAGCAGGCACGCAAAUUACCCACUCCCGGCACGGGGAGGUAGUGACGAAAAAUAACGAUGCGAGACUCAUCCGAGGCCUCGCAAUCGGAAUGAGUACACUUUAAAUCCUUUAACGAGGAUCUAUUGGAGGGCAAGUCUGGUGCCAGCAGCCGCGGUAAUUCCAGCUCCAAUAGCGUAUAUUAAAGUUGUGCGGGUAAAAAGCUCGUAGUUGGA
rnacentral:rRNA from 1 species